rnacentral:rRNA from 1 species
GAUGAACGCGGGCGGCGUGCCUAAUACAUGCAAGUCGAGCGAACGGACGAGAAGCUUGCUUUCUCUGAUGUUAGCGGCGGACGGGUGAGUAACACGUGGAUAACCUACCUAUAAGACUGGGAUAAACUUCGGGAAACCGUAGCUAAUACCGGAUAAUAUUUUGAACCGCAUGGUUCAAAAGUGAAAGACGGUCUUGCUGUCACUUAUAGAUGGAUCCGCGCUGCAUUAGCUAGUUGGUAAGGUAACGGCUUACCAAGGCAACGAUGCAUAGCCGACCUGAGAGGGUGAUCGGCCACACUGGAACUGAGACACGGUCCAGACUCCUACGGGAGGCAGCAGUAGGGAAUCUUCCGCAAUGGGCGAAAGCCUGACGGAGCAACGCCGCGUGAGUGAUGAAGGUCUUCGGAUCGUAAAACUCUGUUAUUAGGGAAGAACAUAUGUGUAAGUAACUGCGCACAUCUUGACGGUACCUAAUCAGAAAGCCACGGCUAACUACGUGCCAGCAGCCGCGGUGAUACGUAGGUGGCAAGCGUUAUCCGGAAUUAUUGGGCGUAAAGCGCGCGUAGGCGGUUUUUUAAGUCUGAUGUGAAAGCCCACGGCUCAACCGUGGAGGGUCAUUGGAAACUGGAAAACUUGAGUGCAGAAGAGGAAAGUGGAAUUCCAUGUGUAGCGGUGAAAUGCGCAGAGAUAUGGAGGAACACCAGUGGCGAAGGCGACUUUCUGGUCUGUAACUGACGCUGAUGUGCGAAAGCGUGGGGAUCAAACAGG